GGCUCGGUGGUGGAUGGUCCACACCUGUCUUCUGAGAGAACGUGAAAAUCGAUUUAAGCCGGAGAAGCCUGUUCGAAUCAGGCCCGAGCCA